rnacentral:rRNA from 1 species
AACGAACGCUGGCGGCAUGCCUAACACAUGCAAGUCGAACGAGAUCUUCGGGUCUAGUGGCGCACGGGUGCGUAACGCGUGGGAAUCUGCCCUUUGGUUCGGAAUAACAGUUGGAAACGACUGCUAAUACCGGAUGAUGACGAAAGUCCAAAGAUUUAUAGCCAGAGGAUGAGCCCGCGUAGGAUUAGCUAGUUGGUGUGGUAAAGGCGCACCAAGGCGACGAUCCUUAGCUGGUCUGAGAGGAUGAUCAGCCACACUGGGACUGAGACACGGGCCAGAAACCUGCGGGAGGCAGCAGUGGGGAUUAUUGGGCAAUGGGCGAAAGCCUGAACCAGCAAUGCCGCGUGAAUGAUGAAUGCCUUAGGGUUGUAACGCUCUUUUACCCGGGAUGAUAAUGACGGUACCCGGAGAAGAAGCUCCGGCUAACUCCGUGCCAGCCGCCGCCGUAA